rnacentral:rRNA from 1 species
AAUCAACGCUGGCGGCGUGCCUCAGACAUGCAAGUCGAACGCGAAAUUUCCCUUCGGGGAGAAAGUAGAGUGGCGCACGGGUGAGUAACACGUAGGUAAUUUGCCUUUGGGUGGGGAAUAACUCAGGGAAACUUGAGCUAAUAUCGCAUAAUGCAGCGGCUCGACAUCGAGACAGUUGUUAAAGCGGGGGAUUGGAGCAAUCCGACCUCGCGCCUAAAGAGAAGCCUGCGGCAGAUUAGCUAGUUGGUAAGGUAAUGGCUUACCAAGGCGACGAUCUGUAACCGGCCUGAGAGGGCGGUCGGUCACACUGACACUGACAUACGGGUCAGACUCCUACGGGAGGCAGCAGUCGGGAAUUUUGGGCAAUGGGCGCAAGCCUGACCCAGCAACGCCGCGUGAAGGAU